CCUACGGGAGGCAGCAGUAGGGAAUAUUGGGCAAUGGGCGAAAGCCUGACCCAGCGACGCCGCGUGAGGGAUGAAGGUCUUCGGAUUGUAAACCUCUUUUAGUAGGGAAGAAGCGAAAGUGACGGUACCUAAAGAAGAAGCACCGGCUAACUAUGUGCCAGCAGCCGCGGUAAUACAUAGGGUGCAAGCGUUGUCCGGAAUUAUUGGGCGUAAAGAGCUCGUAGGUCGUUUGUCGCGUCGAUUGUGAAAAUCUGAGGCUCAACCUCAGACCUGCAGUCGAUACGGGCAAACUAGAGUGUGGUAGGGGAGACUGGAAUUCCUGGUGUAGCGGUGGAAUGCGCAGAUAUCAGGAGGAACACCAAUGGCGAAGGCAGGUCUCUGGGCCAUAACUGACACUGAGGAGCGAAAGUGCGGGGAGCGAACAGGAUUAGAUACCCUGGUAGUCCGCACCGUAAACGGUGGGCACUAGUUGUGGGAACCUUCCACGGUUUCCGCGACGCAGCAAACGCAUUAAGUGCCCCGCCUGGGGAGUACGAUCGCAAGAUUAAAACUCAAAGGAAUUGACGG
rnacentral:rRNA from 1 species